rnacentral:rRNA from 1 species
AGAGUUCGAUCCUGGCUCAGGAUGAACGCUGGCGGCGCGCCUAACACAUGCAAGUCGAACGGCACCUAUCUUCGGAUAGAAGCGAGUGGCGAACGGCUGAGUAACACGUGGAGAACCUGCCCCCUCCCCCGGGAUAGCCGCCCGAAAGGACGGGUAAUACCGGAUACCCCGGGGUGCCGCAUGGCACCCCGGCUAAAGCCCCGACGGGAGGGGAUGGCUCCGCGGCCCAUCAGGUAGACGGCGGGGUGACGGCCCACCGUGCCGACAACGGGUAGCCGGGUUGAGAGACCGACCGGCCAGAUUGGGACUGAGACACGGCCCAGACUCCUACGGGAGGCAGCAGUGGGGAAUCUUGCGCAAUGGGGGGAACCCUGACGCAGCGACGCCGCGUGCGGGACGGAGGCCUUCGGGUCGUAAACCGCUUUCAGCAGGGAAGAGUCAAGACUGUACCUGCAGAAGAAGCCCCGGCUAACUACGUGCCAGCAGCCGCGGUAAUACGUAGGGGGCGAGCGUUAUCCGGAUUCAUUGGGCGUAAAGCGCGCGUAGGCGGCCCGGCAGGCCGGGGGUCGAAGCGGGGGGCUCAACCCCCCGAAGCCCCCGGAACCUCCGCGGCUUGGGUCCGGUAGGGGAGGGUGGAACACCCGGUGUAGCGGUGGAAUGCGCAGAUAUCGGGUGGAACACCGGUGGCGAAGGCGGCCCUCUGGGCCGAGACCGACGCUGAGGCGCGAAAGCUGGGGGAGCGAACAGGAUUAGAUACCCUGGUAGUCCCAGCCGUAAACGAUGGACGCUAGGUG